AUGAGGUCGUUCUACAAGAUGCUACUACUUUCGCUUGCCCUUGUUGCGCUGCUAUCCUCAGAUCUGAUGAUCCAGGCAACGGCUAAUGGUGGCGGCUCGCUAAUCCCUGAAGACUGCCGGCAGACCCCUGUCAUCCCUGGGCCGUGUAACCCCAAGGCUUGUCAACGCAACUGUCAAACCAACGUCGGCCCCGGUGCAGUUGGCGAUUGUGAUGCCGGUGGAUGCCGGUGCACAUACUGUACUCCAUCUCAGCGAAAUUAA
rnacentral:rRNA from 1 species